rnacentral:tRNA from 2 species
GGUGGAAUGGCCGAGUGGUGAGGCAACGGUCUGCAAAACCGUGUACACGGGUUCAAUUCCCGUUUCCACCUCUA